GUAUCGUUGAUGGCUGGGUCGACCACUGGUGUACCGAUGUCUCCUGGAUAAGGCGGAUACCAAACCGCAACGCCGCCGCCUUACUACACAACAAAAUACGCAACGACCAGUUACUACACCGAGGUUGCACAGUUGGGUUUACAGUUAAACCACCAAGGAUCCAGAUUAUUACACCACAACUUGUGCUGCUCCCCGAUCUACACUACCAAAACGCAGAGUACUACACCGAGGCUCCUAAGUACUACACCACCGAGGCACCUACUGAGACUACGCAACUACGUAUGCUGCCCCAACCUACGACGCCGAGGCUCCAGCUUAUUACACCACUAAAGCUGUCGGAAUACUACACUGGAGCGCCCAAGUACGAUAGAAGUCAGUCAAGUGAGAUUCUCCGACACGCAACACGACAGCACGAUGGUCAAAAGAUUUAAACUGACCAUGUCGUCACUGUUGUCGGUUGGGACGCAAACUUCACGGAUUUGGCUGUCGUUUCUGGUUUGGAAAUAGAUUCCAAUUUUGGUGGUUAUCGAGUCAAUACCGAGCUUGAAGCACGAUCGAACGUCUGGUUGGCUGGAGAUGUUGCGUUCGUUUGUGGUAUCAAAUUGGGUUGUCAUCGUAUGGAACAUCAUCACUUUGCUGUUGUAUCAGGGCGAUUGCUGGAGAGAACAAUACUGGAAACAAAACAUGGAUGAACAACUGCAGUGCACCGUCACCAAGUUCAUUCUUCGUCGUAUUAUCAGUACGCAAUCGGUGUCGUGCUGUUGCCGUUUGUCGUAUCGUUGAAGGUUGGGUCGAUCACUGGUGUACCCAUGUCUCCUGGGUAUGGCGGAUACCAAAGCACCACGCCGCCGCCUUGCUACACAACGAAAACAUUCGCACCAACCGGUUACUACACUGAGGGCCACAAUUACUACACCAUUAAGGCUCUAGAGUAUUAAACCGCAGCUAAUGCUGCCCCGAGCUCAAUCACCGAGGCUCCCAAGUACUACACCUAGGCUCCCAAGUACUACACCAUCAAGUCACCGGAGUACUACACGUAUGUUGCCCCACCUUAUACACCGAGGCUCCCAAGUAUUACUUAGUUCCUAGCUAC
rnacentral:lncRNA from 1 species